UCAAGGCACUGAGAGGGUCUGACUCAAGCCAGCACGCGCUGCUCCCCCGCCGGGGGAGGGCUCCCCGGCGGGGAGGGGCCAGGAAAAGCCCCGCCCCACGCCCCGUUCCGCCAGGUGCGCGUGCGCCGCGGCCCCGCCCGCCCCCCCGGCCUGGUUCUGCGCUGCCCGGCGGAGAGCGUCUUUUCUUCGCUCUUUGGCGGCUUGCACGCGCCCUCCUUCCGGACCUCGGGAGUCGCGCAGCUCCCGGCCCGGUCUCCUCCCCGACCGCCUGGCUGCGGGGCCAUGGCGUGGCGGCGGCGGCCCGAGGCCGGCGUCGGGGUCCGCGGCGCGCUGGCGCUGCUGGCGCUGGCUGUGUGCGCGCCCGGGGCCCGGGGGCGGGCGUUCGAGUGGUAUUCGGCCGUGGUGAGCACCGAGUACGUCGACCCGUACACGAACCGCACCGUAUGGAGCGUCUCGGAGAGCGGCCGCUUCGGCGACAGCUCGCCCAAGGAGGGCGCGCAGGGCCUGGUGGGCGUCCCGCGCACGGCGGAUCGCGACCCCGAGGGCUGCGCGCCAGAUACCCGCUUCCUCGUGCCCGCGCCCGGCGGCCGUGGAGCCGCGGCCUGGGUCGCCCUGGUGGCGCGCGGUGGCUGCACCUUCAAGGACAAGGUGCUGGUGGCUGCACGGAGGAACGCCUCGGCCGUGGUCCUCUACAACGAGGAGAGCCACGGGAACCUCACCGUGCCCAUGUCCCACGCGGGAACAGGAAAUAUAGUGGUCAUUAUGGUUAGCUACCCAAAAGGAAGAGAAAUUAUGGAUCUGGUGCAGAAAGGCAUUGCAGUCAAAAUGACCAUAGGAGUUGGCACCCGUCAUGUGCAGGAGUUCAUCAGUGGUCAGUCUGUGGUAUUUGUGGCCAUUGCCUUUAUCACCAUGAUGAUUAUCUCGUUAGCCUGGCUGAUAUUUUACUAUAUACAGCGUUUCCUAUACACUGGCUCACAGUUUGGAAGUCAGAGUCAUAGAAAAGAAGCUAAGAAAAUUAUUGGCCAACUUCCACUUCAUACUGUAAAGCAUGGAGAAAAGGGAGUCGACGUUGAUGCAGAAAACUGUGCAGUGUGUAUUGAGAAUUUUAAAGUGAAGGAUGUUAUCAGAAUUCUGCCAUGCAAGCAUAUUUUUCAUAGAAUAUGCAUUGACCCAUGGCUUUUGGAUCACCGCACGUGUCCAAUGUGUAAACUUGAUGUCAUCAAAGCCCUGGGAUAUUGGGGAGAGGUGGAGGAUGUGCAGGAGAUGCCCGCUCCAGAAUCUACCCCUGGGAGUGUUUUGGCUGCAAAUUUGAGUAUUACUCUACAAGAGGAGGACAGAAGCGAGGGGAACAAUUUACCGUCCUCUUCCACUAGUGAGUCUGCACUGCAGUGUGAUGCCGGCUUUAAAGAAGAUGCAGGUGAAGACACAGCCUUACUAGAAAUGGGCAGGAGCGACCUUGAACAUGGAAGGCCCGUCUCCUAGCACACGUCCUGGUGACCGCGUCAUGGACAGAGCAUUGACUUCAAUUAAAGGACUUUUUUUUUUUUUUUUUACUUCAGCACAUAGUUUGUAUAUUUGAAAAUAAUGUACAUUCUUUUACCUUUCAGGUUCUGAUUUGAUACACAAAGGGCUAAGAUAUUUUAUUCUUAAAGAGAUGUUUUGAUUAGUCUUAAUAUAUUUAUCUACUAAAAUAUAUCAUUUAUGAUAAACAGUAUGUUGUUUUGGACUAUUACAGAGGAGACCACUAGGAAGGCCCUCUAAAGGGGGUGGCAGGGGGAGGUUUUUCUGAAUACUACUAGACUAGCUACCACGGUACUGUACAAAUGGGAUUUUGUUUCUCAAGGAUGGCUUUAGACUGAGCAACUGAAUUUAGACUAGUGGAAGUGGAAUUGUAUAAUUCACUUCAGUUAUUGAUCACGAGUUUUCCUUGGAGGAAAGGCUUUUCUAGAGCAUUAAACUUAUAAAUGAGAUCUGAGAAAUCUACAGCUUUCUCAAACCUCCAUGUUAUUAUAUAGACUUUGAAACCUACGAACACCUUUUCAUUGUUCUCUCUUUGGAAUUAUAGGAAAAGCGUUAGGUGACUUUAGGAUUUGCAUUUUCCCUUUUUAAUCCCUAAUUGCUUGUGAUACCUUAAAGGAGAGGGAAAUUUGUCCAUUUUUUCUACAAAUGAAAAGCUAAGAUCCUUCAUCACACAUGAGCAGUAAGUUCUUCAUUGCCUUAAGGAAAUCGAGCAGGCAGAGUUUUUUGUAAAUGAUGACUGUAUUAGUUCCAACUACAAUUUAAUCUUUACAAUUAAAAGGAUGGAGAACUUUGUUUCUGUUACAAAGUAAGCAGUUUACUUGAUUGAUUUAAAGAUCAUGAUCUCGUGUAAUCAUCUAUCCUUUUUAUUCUUGGCUGUUCUCACUUGUAGGUUGAAAGCGGCAGGUGAAUGUAAAGCUUUUGGAGACUGCACUCUUAAAUUUUAUAAAAUUAUUAAGUAAAAACGCACACUUUCUGCUCUCCUCUCCCUUCUUGGAGGUGGAAGUUGAGGAGGUCCCAGGCAGCAUGUGAAAGAAGCAGUUUGACCAUGAACGUGAAGCACUGUUGUCAGCCACCUGCCCAGGUGCUACUUCUGGGUUUCCCGCUAGAACACCACAAAGGGCAGGAGGAGAUGUGCAAAAACAGGGCACCUUGGACAGGUGAUUUGAAGAUAAUACAACUAGAAACCGGAACUAGAAAACCCAGAGAAUUCAAGAUAUGUUAUUUUUAACAUGGCAGUCAAUUGAACUACACUUAAAAGUUGAUUACAGUUACUGAAUCCCAGGACUAUAGUUGAUUUCAGGUGUUUCUCCAGUGUCCAAGGUCUUCAACAAUCGGAAAAGGCCAGCGGCUUCUCGUAUCCUGCUGAAUUCAAUACAGAAUGCCUGCACUUCUAUAAACAAGUCCUGCACGUUAAUUAUUUUGUUACGGAUCAAGGACUGGAGAAAGACACACACAAGACGCACCAAACGAUUCUGAAAAAGAGAAAGCAAAUUUAGUGUACCCGUUUUCUUGGCAGGUAUUAUAAAAUGUACAAAAAUCUCUGCUACUUACCUGCAUAUAUUUAUCCUUAAUUUGUUCACAAGUAGAGAUGCAAUUUGAUAUGUAAAGGUGAAUAAAUUCAGGAGGUAGAUCAACAGCUGUAGUGAGUCUGUUUCAGAAAGUUAAAAAGUUAGGGCUGUUACAAAACACUGUUACCCAUAAAAUAUAAAAUUCCUCUUUGGUCAUUUAGUCAAAAUUUCUGAUAGGUGAUCAGUUACCUACUUUUAAACAUACUUAUGCAAAUAAGCCUGAGUCACCCACUUUGUUAGUCAAUGGCACUUCAUUUGUUAAGUCUAUACUUAGCAUUACAUUACACAUGAAAAUUACUCAUAAUUUUGAACACCACAUUUCUGUGUUCUUGGUUGAAUCCUAAUUUGUAGUUAAUGGUCUUCAAGCUCUAGUAAGUAACGUUAACUAAACCUCAAUUACAUGUAAGUGCUGUGCAAGGUGGUAGGUCCAAGAAGGUAUAAUUUUUAAUAAGUAUAAUUAAGGGCUAAAAUGAGGGGUUUGCAAAAAGCAGUGUAAAUGAAAAAACAGGAAUAGCCUUAAAAGGUCAAGUGGCCUAAAACUGAAACCUUGAAGUAUUUCUUAUAACCUAGCAAGUGAUGUGAGAAAAAGCUGGGAUCUGGGAUUAGUGUGGCACAUUCAGGAACAUGGUGGUAGAGAUCCGGAUGGAAUGUUGACAGAAGGCAUUGGUGGCACAUUAGUGUCUCCAAGAGGAAAGGUGGUAUUUUCCGAAAGAUUCUGUGGAAUAUUUUAAGGAAAACAAAAAGAUGGGAAUUCCAUGUUCAAAUAAAGGUAUGCUAUGCUAGCUAUA